rnacentral:rRNA from 1 species
UGGGGAAUAUUGCACAAUGGGCGCAAGCCUGAUGCAGCCAUGCCGCGUGUGUGAAGAAGGCCUUCGGUUGUAAAGCACUUUCAGCGAGGAGGAAGGUGGGUGAGCUUAAUACGCUCAUCAAUUGACGUUACUCGCAGAAGAAGCACCGGCUAACUCCGUGCCAGCAGCCGCGGUAAUACGGAGGGUGCAAGCGUUAAUCGGAAUUACUGGGCGUAAAGCGCACGCAGGCGGUUUGUUAAGUCAGAUGUGAAAUCCCCGGGCUCAACCUGGGAACUGCAUUUGAAACUGGCAAGCUAGAGGUCUCGUAGAGGGGGGUAGAAUUCCAGGUGUAGCGGUGAAAUGCGUAGAGAUCUGGAGGAAUACCGGUGGCGAAAGGCCGGCCCCCCUGGAGAAGACUGACGCUCAGGUGCG